GUGUUGUAUGAAAGGAGAGAAGGUUAGCACUCCCCUUGCAAGGAUGGAAGAGGCUCUCAAGCCUGACAACACGCAAUCGGUUAAGGCAUUGCCACCUACUCCAUGGCAUCUAACCACUGUUUUUU
ensembl:snRNA